ensembl:lncRNA novel transcript
AUUGCAGCAGGGCAGCCUCUCUGCUGUCUAUGUGAGGCGGCUCCCCCCAGCGCUAUAAAUAGACAGCCGUGAUCAGAGCCCCGGAAUAGCAGCUUGCGUGCCUGUCCCCAUCUUAGAGAGACAUCUGACCCCUGGUCCCCUGUGGAGCCCCUGCCGGGACCAUUAACCCAUUGGCUGCUGGCACCACCCCCACCUCCGCCUCCCGCGCACCUGCAUCUGUCAAUCCGGGACUCUGGCCUUGUGGAUUCUGGUGUUUUGGAGGUACUGGAUCCCAUCCCCCAAGGAUACAAAGGGACAGCUGUACUUGGGACUGGCAUCUGAAGUGGAGGACACUCUUGUGGGACUGAGACCUUAGCCUGCAGGAUCGGGUACUGUCUCCAGGGAGAAAGCGUCACAAUGGAACAGGGUUGGAGGACGCCCAGCGGGUGUCCGCGGAGACUGGAUGGAACCGGGUUGGAGGACGCCCAGCGGGUGUCCGCGGAGACUGGAUGGAACAGGGUUGGAGGACACCCAGUGGGUGCCUGCGGAGACUCGCUGGAGCAGGGUUGGAGGAUGCCUAGUAGGUGUCCACUGGAGACUUGCUUGGUGUUUGGGGAAAAUCCCCACACACAUUUUGGUGACCAGAGAUGAAGUAUUCCAUGUUGGAUGUUGACUGUUGAGUGUGUGAGAGCAGGGAAAACACUGUUUUUUUUUCCUGUCUCAGACACCAGCCCAGCCCUGGAGUCAGCCGUGUCUCCCAGGAACCUGGUUCCUUGUGUUGGGGGAAUGGCAUCAGAGACCAAGACAUGGGGGCCAGGCACGCUUGUUGCUGCUGUGGUAUACAUUCACAAACGUUAACAAAUAUUUUUAUUUUUACUUAUUUAUUUAUUGAAGAUGGGGUCUCGCUCUGUUGCCCAGGCUGGAGUGCAGUGGCAUGAUCUCAGCUCACUGCAAUCUCCGCCUCCUGGGUUCAAGAGAUUCUCUUGCCUCAGCCUCCUGGGUAGCUGGAAUUACAGGCACGCAGCACCACACCCAGCUAAUUUUUCUAUUUGUAGUAGAGACAGAGUUUCACCAUGUUGGUCAGGCUGGUUUCAAUCUCCUGACCUCGUGAUUCACCUGCCUCGGCCUCCCAAAGUGCUGGGAUUACAGGCGUGAGCCACCACGCCCAGCUGGCUUUCUUUUUUUAAGUACAGAGUUUAAAUUUGUAAUGUUGUCACACAGUGGAAGUUCCCUGCUUUCAGUCCCUGAAUAGCAAAGGCUAUGCCUUGGCCAUCGCUGCUGGAAGAGACACGGCUCAGUGUUGGAUGAAUGUCCUGACUGUUUUCGCCCCAGAGAAUGAAAGGCGCCAACCGUCCUGGGAAAGGUGAGAAGUCAGCGUGGACAAGCUGGGGUGACCAUCACUGCAGAGCUACAGGCCAGCGUCCUCUUCGUGUCCUAGGGCUCGUUUUGUUCCUGGUCCUGCAGGACAGCCUGGGGUCACCGUCACUGCGGAGCUACAGGCCAGCGUCCUCUUCGUGUCCUAGGGCUCGUUUUGUCCCUGGUCCUGCAGGACAGCCUGGGGUCACCGUCACUGCGGAGCUACAGGCCAGCGUCCUCUUCGUGUCCUAGGGCUCGUUUUGUCCCUGGUCCUGCAGGACAGCAUGGCAGCGAUUGACCGAUUGACCAUUAGGACCUCUAUUUUUAAAUAAGGAGGGAGCUACCCGGCGUGGGGCUCCCGGGGCCCACACACUCACGGCACGUCCUUGAGUGUGUGGCGCAGCUCGCGGCCGAGGUUCUGGAUGUACAGCCGCAGGCCCUCCUGCACCGGCUGCCCCGUCAGGUGCACGUUGUCCACCGUCAGCUGUGCCUCGUCAAACAGCCACUGCACCACGAACACAGGGCCUGCGGGCGGCGGGGCUCAGUUCGGCCUCCCCUGACCCCCGCUGCUGCCCCCACCCCAGGCUCACAGCUCAGCACCCCCAGGCCCCUGCAGUGCCCCCACCCCAGGCUCAGAGCUCAGCACCCCCAGGCCCCUGCAGUGCCCCCCACCCCAGGCUCAGAGCUCAGCACCCCCAGGCCCCUGCAGUGCCCCCCACCCCAGGCUCAGAGUUCAGCACCCCCAGGCCCCUGCAGUGUCCCCCACCCCAGGCUCAGAGCUCAGCACCCCCAGGCCCCUGCAGUGCCCCCCAUCCCAGGCUCAGAGCUCAGCACCCCCCAGGCCCCUGCAGUGCCCCCUAUCCCAGGCUCAGAGCUCAGCACCCCCAGGUCCCCGCUGCUGCCCCCGACCCCAGGCAGAGCUCAGCACCCUCCCAGGCCCCCUGCAGUGCUGCUGAGGCUCACAGGCCAGCUAGCCUUGGCCCAACUCUCCCCAGGGGUGUCAGUCAUAGGCCCCCACAGAAUGUGGCUUCCUUCUUUCAAACCAGCCUUUUUAUAAUCCACAGCUUCAUAACUAAAUCAAUAACUAAAUCAACAACUAAAUCAAUAAACUGCCUUUCCUUGAAGACGGGCUCUGUUUAACCCCUCCA